GUUGAACGCUGGCGGCAGGCUUAACACAUGCAAGUCGAACGAGUAGCGGACGGGGGAGUAGUGUCUGGGAAACUACCUGAUGGAGGGGGAUAACUACUGGAAACGGUAGCUAAUAACGCCUACCAUCGGAUGUGCACAGAUGGGAUUGGCUAGUGGGUGGGGUAAGGGCUCACCUAGGCGACGAUCCCUAGCUGGUCUGAGAGGAUGAGAAGCCACACGGGAACUGUGACACGGUCCAGACUCCUACGGGAGGCAGCAGUGGGGAAUAGUGGAAAAUGGGCGCAAGCCUGAUGCAGCCAUGCCGCGUGUGUGAAGAAGGCCUUCGGGUUUUAAAGUACUUUCAGCGAGGAGGCGUUACGCGCAGAAGAAGCACCGGCUAACUCCGUGCCAGCAGCCGCGGUAAUUC
rnacentral:rRNA from 1 species